UUGUUACUCCCUCCGUUCGGAAUUACUUGUCGCGAAAAUGUAUGUAUCUAGAACUAAAAUACGUCUAGAUACAUUCAUUUCUGCGACGAGUAAUUCUGAACGGAGGGAGUAGUAU
rfam:Triticum aestivum genome assembly, contig: Triticum_aestivum_CS42_TGACv1_scaffold_272309_3DS